rnacentral:rRNA from 1 species
GAUGAACGCUGGCGGCGUGCCUAAUACAUGCAAGUCGAGCGAACAGACGAGUAGCUUGCUCCUCUGACGUUAGCGGCGGACGGGUGAGUAACACGUGGAUAACCUACCUAUAAGACUGGGAUAACUUCGGGAAACCGGAGCUAAUACCGGAUAAUAUAUUGAACCGCAUGGUUCAAUAGUGAAAGACGGUUUUGCUGUCACUUAUAGAUGGAUCCGCGCCGCAUUAGCUAGUUGGUAAGGUAACGGCUUACCAAGGCAACGAUGCGUAGCCGACCUGAGAGGGUGAUCGGCCACACUGGAACUGAGACACGGUCCAGACUCCUACGGGAGGCAGCAGUAGGGAAUCUUCCGCAAUGGACGAAAGCUUGACGGAGCAACGCCGCGUGAGUGAUGAAGGUCUUCGGAUCGUAAAACUCUGUUAUUAGGGAAGAACAAAUGUGUAAGUAACUAUGCACGUCUUGACGGUACCUAAUCAGAAAGCAACGGCUAACUACGUG